rnacentral:tRNA from 1 species
CGCGAUGUAGCUCAGCUGGCUAGAGCGUCCGGUUCAUACCCGGGAGGUCGAGGGUUCGAUCCCCCCCCGCCGCGA